GGUUAAGCGACUAAGCGUACACGGUGGAUGCCCUGGCAGUCAGAGGCGAUGAAGGACGUGCUAAUCUGCGAAAAGCGUCGGUAAGGUGAUAUGAACCGUUAUAACCGGCGAUGUCCGAAUGGGGAAACCCAGUGUGAUUCGUCACACUAUCGUUAACUGAAUACAUAGGUUAACGAGGCGAACCGGGGGAACUGAAACAUCUAAGUACCCCGAGGAAAAGAAAUCAACCGAGAUUCCCCCAGUAGCGGCGAGCGAACGGGGAGCAGCCCAGAGUCUGAAUCAGCUUGUGUGUUAGUGGAACGGUCUGGAAAGUCCGACGGUACAGGGUGAUAGUCCCGUACACCAAAAUGCACAGGUUGUGAACUCGAAGAGUAGGGCGGGACACGUGGUAUCCUGUCUGAAUAUGGGGGGACCAUCCUCCAAGGCUAAAUACUCCUGACUGACCGAUAGUGAACCAGUACCGUGAGGGAAAGGCGAAAAGAACCCCGGCGAGGGGAGUGAAAAAGAACCUGAAACCGUGUACGUACAAGCAGUGGGAGCACCUUCGGGUGUGACUGCGUACCUUUUGUAUAAUGGGUCAGCGACUUAUAUUCUGUAGCAAGGUUAACCGUAUAGGGGAGCCGCAGGGAAACCGAGUCUUAACUGGGCGUUAAGUUGCAGGGUAUAGACCCGAAACCCGGUGAUCUAGCCAUGGGCAGGUUGAAGGUUGGGUAACACUAACUGGAGGACCGAACCGACUAAUGUUGAAAAAUUAGCGGAUGACUUGUGGCUGGGGGUGAAAGGCCAAUCAAACCGGGAGAUAGCUGGUUCUCCCCGAAAGCUAUUUAGGUAGCGCCUCGUGAACUCAUCUUCGGGGGUAGAGCACUGUUUCGGCUAGGGGGUCAUCCCGACUUACCAACCCGAUGCAAACUACGAAUACCGAAGAAUGUUAUCACGGGAGACACACGGCGGGUGCUAACGUCCGUCGUGAAGAGGGAAACAACCCAGACCGCCAGCUAAGGUCCCAAAGUCAUGGUUAAGUGGGAAACGAUGUGGGAAGGCACAGACAGCCAGGAUGUUGGCUUAGAAGCAGCCAUCAUUUAAAGAAAGCGUAAUAGCUCACUGGUCGAGUCGGCCUGCGCGGAAGAUGUAACGGGGCUAAACCAUGCACCGAAGCUGCGGCAGCGACACUAUGUGUUGUUGGGUAGGGGAGCGUUCUGUAAGCCUGCGAAGGUGACCUGUGAGGGUUGCUGGAGGUAUCAGAAGUGCGAAUGCUGACAUAAGUAACGAUAAAGCGGGUGAAAAGCCCGCUCGCCGGAAGACCAAGGGUUCCUGUCCAACGUUAAUCGGGGCAGGGUGAGUCGACCCCUAAGGCGAGGCCGAAAGGCGUAGUCGAUGGGAAACAGGUUAAUAUUCCUGUACUUGGUGUUACUGCGAAGGGGGGACGGAGAAGGCUAUGUUAGCCGGGCGACGGUUGUCCCGGUUUAAGCAUGUAGGCUGAUUAUCCAGGCAAAUCCGGAUAAUCAAGGCUGAGGUGUGAUGACGAGGCACUACGGUGCUGAAGUAACAAAUGCCCUGCUUCCAGGAAAAGCCUCUAAGCAUCAGGUAACAUCAAAUCGUACCCCAAACCGACACAGGUGGUCAGGUAGAGAAUACCAAGGCGCUUGAGAGAACUCGGGUGAAGGAACUAGGCAAAAUGGUGCCGUAACUUCGGGAGAAGGCACGCUGGUGUGUAGGUGAAGUCCCUGCGGAUGGAGCUGAGACCAGUCGAAGAUACCAGCUGGCUGCAACUGUUUAUUAAAAACACAGCACUGUGCAAACACGAAAGUGGACGUAUACGGUGUGACGCCUGCCCGGUGCCGGAAGGUUAAUUGAUGGGGUUAUCCGUAAGGAGAAGCUCUUGAUCGAAGCCCCGGUAAACGGCGGCCGUAACUAUAACGGUCCUAAGGUAGCGAAAUUCCUUGUCGGGUAAGUUCCGACCUGCACGAAUGGCGUAAUGAUGGCCAGGCUGUCUCCACCCGAGACUCAGUGAAAUUGAACUCGCUGUGAAGAUGCAGUGUACCCGCGGCAAGACGGAAAGACCCCGUGAACCUUUACUAUAGCUUGACACUGAACAUUGAGCCUUGAUGUGUAGGAUAGGUGGGAGGCUUUGAAGCGUGGACGCCAGUCUGCGUGGAGCCAACCUUGAAAUACCACCCUUUAAUGUUUGAUGUUCUAACGUUGGCCCCUUACCGGGGUUGCGGACAGUGUCUGGUGGGUAGUUUGACUGGGGCGGUCUCCUCCCAAAGCGUAACGGAGGAGCACGAAGGUUAGCUAAUCCUGGUCGGACAUCAGGAGGUUAGUGCAAUGGCAUAAGCUAGCUUGACUGCGAGCGUGACGGCGCGAGCAGGUGCGAAAGCAGGUCAUAGUGAUCCGGUGGUUCUGAAUGGAAGGGCCAUCGCUCAACGGAUAAAAGGUACUCCGGGGAUAACAGGCUGAUACCGCCCAAGAGUUCAUAUCGACGGCGGUGUUUGGCACCUCGAUGUCGGCUCAUCACAUCCUGGGGCUGAAGUAGGUCCCAAGGGUAUGGCUGUUCGCCAUUUAAAGUGGUACGCGAGCUGGGUUUAGAACGUCGUGAGACAGUUCGGUCCCUAUCUGCCGUGGACGCUGGAGAAUUGAGGGGGGCUGCUCCUAGUACGAGAGGACCGGAGUGGACGCAUCACUGGUGUUCGGGUUGUCAUGCCAAUGGCACUGCCCGGUAGCUAAAUGCGGAAGAGAUAAGUGCUGAAAGCAUCUAAGCACGAAACUUGCCCCGAGAUGAGUUCUCCCUGAGACUUUAAGUCUCCUGAAGGAACGUUAAAGACGAUGACGUUGAUAGGCCGGGUGUGUAAGCGCAGCGAUGCGUUGAGCUAACCGGUACUAAUGAACCGUGAGGCUUAACCUU
rnacentral:rRNA from 1 species